UGCCAGCCGCCGCGGUAAUACGGAAGGUCCAAGCGUUAAUCGGAAUUACUGGGCGUAAAGCGCGCGUAGGUGGUUUAUUAAGUUGGAUGUGAAAUCCCCGGGCUCAACCUGGGAACUGCAUCCAAAACUGAUUCACUAGAGUACGAUAGAGGGAGGUAGAAUUCACAGUGUAGCGGUGGAAUGCGUAGAUAUUUGAAGGAACACCAAUGGCGAAGGCAGCUAUCUGGAAUAAUACUGACGCUGAGGUACGAAAGCGUGGGGAGCAAACAGGAUUAGAUA
rnacentral:rRNA from 1 species